UACGUAGGGGCUAGCGUUGUCCGGAAUCAUUGGGCGUAAAGAGCGUGUAGGCGGCCCGGUAAGUCCGCUGUGAAAGUCGGGGGCUCAACCCUCGAAUGCCGGUGGAUACUGUCGGGCUAGAGUGCGGAAGAGGCGAGUGGAAUUCCUGGUGUAGCGGUGAAAUGCGCAGAUAUCAGGAGGAACACCGGUGGCGAAGGCGGGU
rnacentral:rRNA from 1 species